rnacentral:rRNA from 1 species
UUACACAUNGCAAGUCGAACGGCAGCGCGGGGCAACCUGGCGGCGAGUGGCGAACGGGUGAGUAAUAUAUCGGAACGUGCCCUGGAGUGGGGGAUAACGCAGCGAAAGUUGCGCUAAUACCGCAUACGAUCUAAGGAUGAAAGCGGGGGAUUCGCAAGAACCUCGUGCUCCUGGAGCGGCCGAUAUCUGAUUAGCUAGUUGGUGGGGUAAAGGCCUACCAAGGCAUCGAUCAGUAGCUGGUCUGAGAGGACGACCAGCCACACUGGAACUGAGACACGGUCCAGACUCCUACGGGAGGCAGCAGUGGGGAAUUUUGGACAAUGGGCGAAAGCCUGAUCCAGCAAUGCCGCGUGAGUGAAGAAGGCCUUCGGGUUGUAAAGCUCUUUUGUCAGGGAAGAAACGGUGAAGGCUAAUAUCCUUUGCUAAUGACGGUACCUGAAGAAUAAGCACCGGCUAACUACGUGCCAGCAGCCGCGGUAAUACGUAGGGUGCAAGCGUUAAUCGGAAUUACUGGGCGUAAAGCGUGCGCAGGCGGUUUUGUAAGUCUGUCGUGAAAUCCCCGGGCUCAACCUGGGAAUUGCGAUGGAGACUGCAAGGCUAGAAUCUGGCAGAGGGGGGUAGAAUUCCACGUGUAGCAGUGAAAUGCGUAGAGAUGUGGAGGAACACCGAUGGCGAAGGCAGCCCCCUGGGUCAAGAUUGACGCUCAUGCACGAAAGCGUGGGGAG